UGGGGAAUAUUGCACAAUGGAGGGAACUCUGAUGCAGCGACGCCGCGUGAGCGAAGAAGGUUUUCGAAUCGUAAAGCUCUGUCCUAUGGGAAGAUAAUGACGGUACCAUAGGAGGAAGCCCCGGCUAACUACGUGCCAGCAGCCGCGGUAAUACGUAGGGGGCAAGCGUUGUCCGGAAUCACUGGGCGUAAAGGGUUCGCAGGCGGAAAUGCAAGUCAGUUGUGAAAGGCAGAGGCUCAACCUCUGUAAGCAAUUGAAACUGUAUUUCUUGAGAUGUGGAGAGGCAAGUGGAAUUCCUAGUGUAGCGGUGAAAUGCGUAGAUAUUAGGAAGAAUACCGGUGGCGAAGGCGACGUGCUGGACACAAACUGACGCUGAGGAACGAAAGCGUGGGUAGCAAACAGG
rnacentral:rRNA from 1 species